GAUGAAGAACGUAGCGAAAUGCGAUAAGUAAUGCGAAUUGCAGAAUUUCCGUGAGUCAUCGAAUCUUUGAACGCACAUUGCGCCCAUUGGUAUUCCGAUGGGCAUGCCUGUUCGAGCGUCAUUAUCCCCCCUCAAGCCUUCGGUUUGGUGUUGGACCCAUGUUGUGUAAUGAACAACUGGUCUCAAAGACAAUGACGGCGUCCGUGGGACCCUCGAUGCAACGAGCUUUUAAGGAGCAAGCGUCGAGUUGCAAGGACCCUCCGGGCCGGUCUCCUCUAUCUAUUUUACUAGGUUGACCUCGGAUCAGGUAGGAAUACCCGCUGAACUUAAGCAUAUCAAUAAGCGGAGGA
rnacentral:misc_RNA from 1 species